UGUAUCCCUUCUCCAAAGGCUUCAAGAAGGAAUGAAUAAGACAGAAGAGGAAUCUGAAACCCUACACAGACAACUUCUUGACAGGGAGAUUGAACCCGCAGCUUUUGUGCAGAAGUACAAAAAACUCCGCACAACCUACCACAGAAGAGCGCUUAUCCAUCUUGCAGCUAGAACAUCAACUGGGUGACCAAGAAAUGUAAAAUAUG
rnacentral:misc_RNA from 1 species